rnacentral:rRNA from 1 species
UACAGAGGGUGCAAGCGUUGUUCGGAAUUAUUGGGCGUAAAGCGCGUGUAGGCGGCUUUGCAAGUCGGGUGUGAAAGCCCUCGGCUCAACCGAGGAAGUGCGCCCGAAACUGCAGAGCUUGAGUGCCGGAGAGGGUCGCGGAAUUCCCGGUGUAGAGGUGAAAUUCGUAGAUAUCGGGAGGAACACCAGAGGCGAAGGCGGCGACCUGGAAGGUAACUGACACUGAGCAGCGAAAGCGUGGGUAGCAAACAGG